rnacentral:lncRNA from 9 species
UUUUUUUAUUUUAUUUUAUUUAUUUUUUUUUACAGAAUAAAAUACAUAUAUUUAAACACAAUUACAUUCACACAGAUUAUUAUAUCAUGGAUCUUAAGAAACAGAUUAAGUGACUCCCUCUGGAGAAGUGGAAUGGAAAAUAUGCUGAGACAAAUAGGAAAUUCAUUCUAUACUUUAUCCCAUUUUGUAUGGCUUUCAUCUUUACUAUUUACCAUUAUCUAUUACAUUUCAAUUUUUCUGUAAAAAUUAGCAUUAUAUUAAAAUUAUGUAUAUUAUGCAGCUAAAAUUUAUAAAUAAGAAAGCCUUAUAUACCAUUAAAUAUUUUAUAUAGCAUAAUAAAAAGAAUAACUUUGCUGGUAAGAAUAACAAAAAUAAUACACCCUCUGAAAAUAAGUAAAAUAUAAAAUGCAUAAAUUGGUUAAAAAACAGUAUAAUUAUAUAAAUAUGUCUUCACAAUUGGUUACAUCUUAUUGAUUCAAUAUAGGCAUUACACCAUUCUAGGUGAUGUGAUAAGCAAGACAUUAUAGACCUUACAUUGUACCAUGGAGAGAAGUGGUUAUUAAUAAUAUAAUUGUAGAACUGUAUUAUUUAAUUGUACAGUUGCAUUAUUGAAUUAUAAUUAUCAUAAAUUCUUUGAUUGGAGAGGAAAUCAGAAUCAGAUGUAAGAAGACUUCAGCAUUCCAAGAAUGAUGUCAAAUGACCCCCUUCCUGAUGGAUUAUGCACUUAUUUACUAUGAGAUAUAUUUCUUCUCCAGAGAUUCCUUGUUUGAGUAUCAAUUGUAGAUUUUUGGUUUGCAGUUAUUCCGAAGUUUUGAUAUUAGUCUAUAUGUAUAUGAGAUUUUUUUAAGUUGUUGUUCUCUAAAUUGCAAGAUAUACUAAACAUGAUGAAAGGAAAAAACCUCCAACCAAGAUGACUCUACCCAGCAAGGCUCUCAUUCAGGUUUGAAGGAGAAAUCAAAACCUUCACAGAUAAGCAAAAGCUGAGAGAAUUCAGCACCACUAAACUAGCCUUACAACAAAUACUAAAGGAACUUCUCUAGGCAAUAAAGACAAGACAGCAACAGGAAACAAAAAUUCCACAAAUGACAAGGCUCACCAGUAAAGGUAUAUAUACAGUAAAGAUACGAAAUCAUCCAUGCACAAUUAUACCAUUAAAAUCAGAAAUCAUGAGAAGAGGUGGGUCCAAAUGCAGGACACUGGAGAUGAACUUGCAAUUAAGAGAACAACUCGGUGUCUUGCUUUAUGUUAACUUUCUCUUAAGUUCCACAGCACCCGUUCUUUAGCCCUCACCUGCUGAGCUGGUCUCGGCAAGAUAUAAAAUACAGGAGUUCCCGUCGUGGUGCAGUGGUUAACUCCGACUAGAAACCAUGAAGUUGCGGGUUCGAUCCCUGCCCUUGCUCAUGGGUUAAGGAUCCAGCGUUGCCGUGAGCUAUGGUGUAAGUCGCAGACAGAGCUAGGAUCUGGUGUUGCUGUGACUGUGGUGUAGACCAGUGUCUACAGCUCCAACUGGACCCCUAGCCUGGGAACCUCCAUAUGCCACAGGUGCGGCCCUAAAAAGACAAAAAAAAAAAAAAAAAAAAAAAAAAAAAAAGAUGACACAGAAAAAGCAAGCACUAAUGUGAAGUUUUCCUUUCAAUUCAGAUGGAAAAUUAGGAACACUUCCAAUUCAGAAUUCCAAACACUGAAUCCAGGUGUGUCCUGCUGUGACCUCAAUUCCUUGACUGAAGACGAGCUCGGAGGUCAGUGGAAAGGAUCCACGUUCUGUUGGACCGCAAACCACAAAACGGGUGGCCCCGAAAAAGCCAGUAAAGGCACACUUGAGCUGCAUGUGAUUGUUCCUCCUUGAUGUUUGUCCAGCUGUUCAGGAUUUGGAUUCCUAAUGUCUUCUUCAGCAAUUUACUAAUUCUUUGUUGGUGGAGGGGCUGGGAUGUUUCUCCACACAGAGACUGAUCUUUGUCAUAAAUCGCUGUUAGAAUGAGAGCAGCUCAGCCACACGGCCACCCCUUCCCCAGUCUCUAAAUCCUCAUCAGUGACAACCCCACACAGGCGAAGACAGAAACACGCCUCUGAGUCCUCGUCAUGCUGGAAGUCCUCGAUCUCCACCUCGGUGUCCUACACCACCUUUGUCACUGAGGCCAACGAAGAGCUGUCACACUCCUCUACCCCAGCUGAAUGAGAGACACCACCGGUUGGUCUAACCUCCGAAUCGGGGGCCAAGCCUGCUGACACAGUCACGGCGCCCUGGCACAGGAACUCCAAAGUCUAAACUUAAACAUAUUUGCUUUUGAAGUUGUUAUGAAUUACCAAACAGAUAUGGAGACCAUGAAUGAGUCAAUUAGCCUCUUAUGUUUUUGAAUCUUUCACUAAGUUGUCAAUGUCACAAGAAAGAGUCCACUUUAAUAAUAAACAUACAUAAAGUAAAAUACGUCUGGCCUUUCCACGUUUUCUGGCUCCAAAGCCAAAACAACUAAGAUAAGAACAAUUAUGAUAACAUUGUGGUUAGAAAGUAUGUUUAUUCAUAGAGAGCAAAGUCACAUCUCCCUGAAACUGAAAUCUCAUUUUAUUAAGCUAGUUCAGUACGAGGGAUCCUAAAUCCUUUUCUCUUAUAAGGUGGCCAAACCUUGCAUUCUCCACCUUUUAUUUCAGGUAGUUCAUCUUCUGGACACCAGUCUGACCUUAAAAUUACCCCCAAUUACAUGUAAUUUUGUUUGAUUUGGCCCAUCAUUCCAGCCCGCCCUCAUUCUUUGCAGUGCUGGGUCUGCCAUCCACCUGCGUUCUCCCCCUUAGCUGUGGGCCAUUCAUAGGCUUGCUGUGCAUGUGUUCUGAUGUCCUAGGAUUGUGCUCCUUGGAAUAGUAGAGACCAAAGGUAGAGAACAUAAAAAUCGAACUCUAUAAAGUGUGACUACAAAGUAAUGCUUUGAGGAUUGGCAAUGUAAUUAGAAUAUCUGUGUAGCUUCCAAAGAUUUAUGCUUUCAUAUUUUUCUCCCAGCUUCACUGAAAUAUUAUUGGAAAAUAACUUUGUGUAAUUUUAGGGUGUGCAAUAUGACAAUGUGAUGUACAAAUAAAUCGUGAAAUGAUUACCACAAUAAGGUUAGUUAGCACAACUACAUAAAUUUGUGCUUUUGAAUGCAUUUAUCCUGACAGGUUUGCUUUACGGUUAUUUAAAUUAUCUUACCAUAUUUGCCUCCUUUAUUGAGAAGCCAGUUAGUCAAUGUGUCAUUACUGAAAGAUAAUCUACCCAGUAUGGAAUAGUAACUGUAAAAUUUAAUACCAGGUAAGUUAAAUAUUAGUAAAUAAAAGACAAGAUACAUGUUCGAGCCCAGCCUCAACAGUAACAAAGUCCACUAACAUUUGGAUCCAACUCAAGAGAUGAAACCAGACUACUGACUGUGAGCGCACAGCCAUCAGGGAUGGGAUACUGCACCAUUCAAGGAGGAGGCAGGCUUGGGAGACACAGCUAAUGCAGGAUUUGAGAGAAGGUCAUGAUAAGAAAGUCUCAGCUAAAGAGAUGAAGGCUGAACGGUGAAAUUAGACAGGAAUUAGAGCUGAGGUCUGGGCAGAAUGAUCAAAAAAAAGAACUAGACAGAAUGUGUGAGCCAUCCUGAAUUCCUAUGAUAGAAACAAAGAGUUGUUAGGGGAACCAAUCCAUUAAAGCUAAUUAAGAAAAACAGCAGAGGAGUUCCCGUCGUGGCGCAGUGGUUAACGAAUCCGACUAGGAACCAUGAGGUUGCGGGUUCGGUCCCUGCCCUUGCUCAGUGGGUUAACGAUCCGGCGUUGCUGUGAGCUGUGGUGUAGGUUGCAGACACGGCUCGGAUCCUGUGUUGCUGUGGCUCUGGUGUAGGCUUGUGGCUACAGCUCCGAUUGGACCCCUAGCCUGGGAAUCUCCACAUGCCACGGGAGCGGCCCAAGAAAUAGCAAAAAGACAAAAAAAAAAAAAAAAGAAAAGAAAAAGAAAAACAGCAGAGGAGUUCCCAUCAUGGCACAGAGGAAACGAAUCCGACUAGGAGCCAUGAGGUUAUAGGUUCGAUUCCUGGCCUCGCUCAGUGGGUUAAGGAUCCAGCGUUGCUGUAAGCUGUGGUGUAGGCCACAGACAUGGCUCAGAUCUGGCAUUGCUGUGGCUCUGGUGUAGGCCAGCAGCCACAGCUCCGAUUAGAUUAGAGCCCUAGCCUGGGAACUUCCAUAUGCUGUGGGUGCAGCCUUAAAGGGACAAAAGACAAAAAAAAAAAAAGAAAAGAAGAACAGCAGAGUAUUUACAGGCUGCUAGCUCCUUAGUAUGACACAUGUUCAAUCAUCUACCUGAAAUGGGAGGACUGGAUCUUACGUUGAAUAUGACCUCACAGGAGCCCUCAGGCAUGGGGAACACGGUAGGCUGGCAAAGUCCCAGCAGGUGUCAGCUGCAGGUAUGCAGCAUGCUCACCUGGUACAAACAUACCCAUUAAGGUCAUACCUUCAGCUGAGUGGCUCUUGACACCUAUACAACUUUAAUUAAAAAACAGGUGAUAUUAACUUUAAUAUUUUAUUUAACUUUAUAUAUCUAAAAAGUGUCAUUUAAAUGUACAAUUGAUAUUAACAAUUAAUAAGACAUUUUACAUUUUUUCAUACUGUCUUAAAAAUCCCGUGUGUGUUUAUAUUCACAGCCCCUAUCGAUUUGGACUGGCCACACUGCAAGUGCUGAAUGACUACAUGUGGCCCGCAGCCACCAUGUUACACAGUGGGGAGCUGAACUGUCACUCAAAUAUGUCUGUUGCAUCCUUCAAUUGUGUGAGAGAACAAAAUAAGGACAACUAACUUCUGUAGAUCACAUCACAGUCAAAGGACUGCACUAUCCUAGGAUCCAAAACAAUAAUGCACGGUGUCGAGGUGACAAACGUUACCCCUUGCUGACAAGUGAGAGAACGUAACAACUUAACAUCUUCCUAAAUGAGGCUCACAAUCCUAGCAAGAAACUAGGAAAUUUGGGUUCCUAAUUUCCUUCCACCCACAAAUGAGGCUGCCUCAGCGAUCGAAUGACUUGCCAAAGGCUAGGCAACAUGUCAGCUGUAGAGUAGGAGCUAAAAUCUGGGCCAUUCUGCUCCUGGAUCAAGGCUCUACUACUAUUAACAACACUGCAGAGGCCCCCAGACUUAAACACACAGCAAUGAAGG